rnacentral:rRNA from 1 species
CCUACGGGUGACUGCAGUGGGGAAUAUUGGACAAUGGGGGGAACUCUGAUCCAGCGACGCCGCGUGAGUGAUGAAGUUUUUCGGUAUGUAAAGCUCUAUCAGCAGGGAAGAAAGAAGUGACGGUACCUUACUAAUAAGCCUCGGCUAACUACGUGCCAGCAGCCGCGGUAAUACGUAGGGGGCGAGCGUUAUCCGGAUUUACUGGGUGUAAAGGGAGCGUAGACGGCGAUGCAAGUCUGAAGUGAAAGGCGGGGGCCCAACCCCGGGACUGCUUUGGAAACUGUAUGGCUGGAGUGCAGGAGGGGCAAGUGGUAUUCCUAGUGUAGCGGUGAAAUGCGUAGAUAUUAGGAGGAACACCAGUGGCGAAGGCGGCUUACUGGACUGUAACUGACGUUGAGGCUCGAAAGCGUGGGGAGCAAACAGGAUUAGAUACCCUAGUAGUC